GAGCGGAUGACAGGAGCUUGCUCCUUGAUUCAGCGGCGGACGGGUGAGUAAUACCUAGGAAUCUGCCUGGUAGUGGGGGACAACGUUUCGAAAGGAACGCUAAUACCGCAUACGUCCUACGGGAGAAAGCAGGGGACCUUCGGGCCUUGCGCUAUCAGAUGAGCCUAGGUCGGAUUAGCUAGUUGGUGGGGUAAUGGCUCACCAAGGCGACGAUCCGUAACUGGUCUGAGAGGAUGAUCAGUCACACUGGAACUGAGACACGGUCCAGACUCCUACGGGAGGCAGCAGUGGGGAAUAUUGGACAAUGGGCGAAAGCCUGAUCCAGCCAUGCCGCGUGUGUGAAGAAGGUCUUCGGAUUGUAAAGCACUUUAACUUGGGAGGAAGGGCAGUAAGCUAAUACCUUGCUGUUUUGACGUUACCGACAGAAUAAGCACCGGCUAACUCUGUG
rnacentral:rRNA from 1 species